ACAACGACCGUUGAAAUGUCUCCUCUAUCCGAAAUGACUGUGUCGAGGCAUUGCAUGUUAAGCACCCGAGACUCAUCGCCAAAAGCUUUCCAGUGUAAGCCUAAUGCAAUUCCAAUGUGGGUUACUUUCACUGGGUACCAGCUCGCUAUUCGAAUAUGACGCCGUCGUCCAAAACCCACAACGAUCCUACCCUCCACCUCAACAGCAUCUCAACUCCGGUACCUUCGAAAAAAGUAUCCCCCACCCAACUUCCCGUUCUCCAGAUGCAAUCCUUUCCCCUACAUUCCGCGAAUGAACAUCACGAAACCCUCCCACGCCUAACGUCGCCUGCACUCGCCUCCUCGUUCCCAAAUCUCUCAACUACGGCAAG